UGGGGAAUAUUGGACAAUGGGCGCAAGCCUGAUCCAGCCAUGCCGCGUGAGUGAUGAAGGCCCUAGGGUUGUAAAGCUCUUUCACCGGUGAAGAUAAUGACGGUAACCGGAGAAGAAGCCCCGGCUAACUACGUGCCAGCAGCCGCGGUAAUACGUAGGGGGCAAGCGUUGUCCGGAUUUACUGGGUGUAAAGGGCGCGCAGGCGGGAUAAAAAGUCAGUGGUGAAAUCCUACAGCUUAACUGUAGAACUGCCUUUGAUACUUUUAUUCUUGAGUUCGGGAGAGAGAGACGGAAUUCCAGGUGUAGUGGUGAAAUACGUAGAUAUCUGGAGGAAAACCAGUUGCGAAGGCGGUCUCUUGGUCCGACACUGACGCUGAGGCGCGAAAGCGUGGGGAGCAAACA
rnacentral:rRNA from 1 species